CGGCCUUUCUACCGGGGGCAGCAGUGGCGGAAUAUUGCAUGGAGGCACUCUGAAUAAGCAACGCCCGCGUGAUGAUGAGUCUCGAAUUGUAAAGUUCUGUGAUGGGGACGAGAAAGUGACGGUACCCCAAUAGCAGCUACGGCUACUACGUGCCAGCAGCCGCGGUAAUACGUAGGUAGCAAGCGUUGUCCGGAAUGACUGGGCGUAAAGGGUGCGUAGGUGGCUAUGCAAGUUGGUGGUGAAAUUCCGGGGCUUAACUCCGGGCGCUACCACCAAAACUGUGUAGCUUGAGUGCAGGAGAGGUAAGUGGAAUUCCUAGUGUAGCGGUGGAAUGCGUAGAGAUUAGGAGGAACACCAGUGGCGAAAGCGACUUACUGGCCUGUAACUGACACUGAAGCACGAAAGCGUGGGGAGCAAACAGGAUUAGAUACCCUGGUAGUCCACGCCGUAAACGAUGAUUACUAGGUAUGGGAGGUAUCGACUCCUUCCGUGCCGCAGCUAACGCAUUAAGUAAUCCGCCUGGGGAGUACGGCCGCAAGGUUGAAACUCAAAGAAAUUGACGGGGACCCGCACAAGCAGCGGAGCAUGUGGUUUAAUUCGACGCAACGCGAAAAACCUUACCAGGUCUUGACAUCCUUUGACCGCCUGAGAGAUCAGGAAUCUCUAGCAAUAGAGCAAAGAGACAGGUGGUGCAUGGUUGUCGUCAGCUCGUGUCGUGAGAUGUUCGGUUAAGUCCGACAACGAGCGCAACCCUUGUAUACAGUUGCCAAUAUUAAGUUAGGAACUCUGUAUAAACUGCCGUGGCUAACACGGAGGAAGGUGGGGAUGACGUCAAAUCAUCACGCCCCUUACGACCUGGGCCACACACGUGCUACAAUGGCUAUUACAAAGAGCAGCGAAACCGUAAGGUCAAGCGAAUCUCAAAAAGAUAGUCUCAGUUCGGAUUGUGGGCUGAAACUCGCCCACAUGAAGUUGGAGUUGCUAGUAAUCCCGGAUCAGCAUGCCGGGGUGAAUGCGUUCCCGGGUCUUGUACACACCGCCCGUCACGCCAUGGAAGUCUGGAGUACCCAAAGUCAACAGCCUAACCGCAAGGAGGGAGUUGCCUAGGGUAAUACAGAUGACUGGGGUGAAGUCGUAACAAGGUAACCAAGGGCGAAUCGCGCCGCUAUG
rnacentral:rRNA from 1 species